CCCAGAUCUCGCCGCCGGCCGGCACGUCGGUGCCGUCUGAUCCGCCCGCCAUGCGCCGCCUCAGCCCUCUCCGUGCCGUGCCGUGCUCUCUCCGCCGGUAGUGGUGGUGCCGUCUCAGGCUGGAGGAACCUUCAUUACUGGAGGAACUCUUUGGAUGCCGGAUGCAAAGGUUAGCUUCAGAUUUUACCAGCAAGCAGACGAAGGCGACAGGAGCAUCGACUCCUUAAAUACUGCAGGUAUCUAGUGAGUAUUUGAUCAAAGCAUAGCAGCACACAAAGAAGCAUCUUACUGUGUUGAUUAAAGACUGGUACAUAUUCUACCUUCUACUGUACCUCUGAGGACCAUUCCUUAUGUAAUUAAAAGGUUAUUUACGGAAUUUAAUAUAUGCGGAGUCAGAUCAUUCAUUUUCCC